GGCUGUCGGCGCGGCCGGGGGGCGGGGGCCGCGCGGCGAGCCGCCUGCGGGCGUGGGGCUGCGAGGACGGCUGGGCCACCGCGGCACCGGGACCCGGCGGGCGCGGCGCGAGAGGAGGACGCGGAGCGCGUGCAGUGGCUCCCAGCCGCCCAGCCCAGCUGCCCGCUCGCCGCCGCUCUACACAGGGCGCUCUGGCAUAACUACUGCAGAGGGGCUGCAGGCUCGGGCGCGCUGAUUGGCUUCCCAGCAGCCGUCCCCUCUGACUGGCUCUGGGAGAAGUUCCCCAGCCUCACUCCUCCUUCCCGCUGCUCAUUGGCCUGCAGCCGGGAGGGCUUUUCCCUUUAGGAUUUUUGCGACCUCCCUAUCCUCCCUUGGGGUGCGUGGGGGUUCCUGGCUCAGGUGCCCCUCCUCCCAGCCCAGUCCAGCUCGUCUCUGGCCACCAGAGCCGCUCACGUCCUCCUCCUCGCCACAAAAUCCACCUCCUCUUCCUGCUCUCCGAUGGGGCUUCCUUCGAACCGUUUUCCCCAACGCAGCUCCGGCGGGGUUCGCAAACCCAACCCACGGAUGGUCUCACUCAGGGGCAGCUGGGGACCACAGUUCGCAGCCUGCAUCAUCUUCGAAUACCGUACCUCAAACGUCUGACAGCCGUGGGGUUUCCUAGGGUUAAUUUAAUAGAGCCACACAAAGGGUAGGCACCUGAUCCCAGGUUGUUAAAAGAAUCGUCUCCUUUAAGCUCGCCCCCGGUGACCCUUCAUGAAGCCAAGCAUAACUGGGGACAAGAUAACCUGGGGCUUAAAGUCAGCCUGACCCAUGAGAAAAUCGCUUCACACAGCACAUUCAUUGAGCCAGAGCUAGCCUGUUUGAGAGGUCUCCUAGCCCCAAAUCCCCACCUCUUCCCGCUUCAAUUUCACCAUCUGAAAUUCCGUGCUUUGCCAGUCAAAUGCUUCUCAGCGGAGGAUGGCAUUUAGUCAUGACCCCAUGCGCCUCAGUAGGGAUCUUUAACUCCCACAUUCCUUCUGAUGACUUCCACACACACCUCAGCACAAUGUCAGGCACAUAGUAGGCCCUCAAAAGUACUUGUAUAAUGAAAUGAUUAGCACCUCCGUGUGAGUGUGUGUUGUCUUGAUCUAGGUCAAAAUAGGUUUGGCUAAGGCAGGGAAAGGGAGAGCCUCUGCCCCAGGAAUCCUGCGGGGAGAGCCAGGCCACGGGCGAGGAGGUCCUGGGCCAGAACUGGCGGGCUGAGGAGGGAGGCGAAGGGAGGGUAGGUGGCCAAGGACCUCAUUCAUUCAUUCGUUCAUUCACUGACAAAUAUUUGAAGUGCUGCUACGUGCCAGACUCUGCGAGAGCCUAACAAACAAUGGGGAUACAAAGAUUAACCUGUGGUACCUGACCUCAAAGAGCUACAGGUCUUGUGGGAAAGGCAGCCAAACAGAAAAUGUUAACCCAGUAUGUGGGAAGUGCUAACAUCGAGGCAAAUGCAGAGUUCUAAGGGGUGAGAAAGGCAGGUCACAGAAAGCUUCCCAGAAGAGGCGGUGCCCUAAACUCGGGCUUGAAAGACCAGUAGGAGUCGAGAAACAACCGUCCUACUUUUCAAGGCUCCCAUCCUCAUGUUAGACGUCAGGCCCUCGACUCAGCCCUCCUCUUCCACCAGACGAGACAAAGAGAAGCAAUCAGUCCAGAAACACAAAAGGAUGUGCUGAUUGAGCCAGGGUUCACGUUCUACAAUUCAGGGCUCCGUGCUGCCAGGCCCAAUUGGAAGCAUUUAGAGAACCCCGCCGGGCCCCAUCUUCCCCUUUGGGCCUCAGAGGAAGGCUACCUAGCACAGCAGGCCCAGAAGAACUUUUCUUCACCUUUCGUUCCUGGUCUCCAGUUUGCAAGAAUUCGAGAAUUCCCAGCUGUAGCCAGCAGCUAUUAUCUUGCUGUAGCUGGGAGGAGAGUCUGGGUCCAUGGCUCCAAAAGCAGCAUAAAUCAAGGUUUCUGGGAGAGGCUUACGAAACGGUGUUCAACAGCUGCCGCCUUGGGAGGGGCUCACACAGAGCCAUGCACGCGGCCACACACACACAGGGUUUGUCUUGGGCCCAGUUCCCUUGCCCCCCCCCCCCCGCAGGUGAUGCUCUCCCCUCCCCGUCCCCCUCGCGCGCACAGUACCUUCUCCCCUUCGCGCCUCCCUCAAGACCUGCUUUCAGCGGAGAAAUUUCCAAGCUCAUCUGCUUACAGUGUAUAUGGUCGAUAGGAUAUGAUGGGGCCGCCCACCCAGGGGCAGGGGUCCUUUAACAGGGAUCAAAGCUCGAAACCAAAGCAACAGGGCUCUAAAACCUGCGGAAUUCUAGGCAUCUGCCAGUGGGAAGGGAGUGUUUAAACUGAGGGGCAAUGAGGCCUUUUUUGGUACACCUGAAAUCACAUCAUGUAGACAGUUGCUUAUAUGUCAGGCCGGUGCUGCUCACAGCCAGCACCUCCCUGGCCACACCUCUGCACGCUAUGGCACACAGCCACUUUGUCUCCCUUCUCCCGCAGUGUAUGACUCCUUUGUGGGGCGGAGGGGAGGGGAGGCGCCAGGCACACUGAUCCCAAUUCUCCCAAAUGUAUAAGCUAUGAUCAGAGAAUGAAUUAUGGUCCUUUGGGAAAGAGUGUUCAUUCAUUCAUCCCAGCCAGCAGGCCAGUGCCAUGUAAAUGGUAACUUUGUAAGUUGAAAGACUUAGAGCCAUUUUGAAAAUUGCAUAAUAAUCCCAGGCAGAAUUUGGCUCCAUGUGUAUGGAAAAUUAAUAGGCCCAGCUGAGAUGCUUGCAUUAUGAGUUGUGGAUGGAGAGCGUCUCCUCAGACCAGGGCUAGGCUUUGCCUCACUAAAUCCACAAAAUAUACUGAGGUUCUUGUGAGGUAGAUGCAAGACUUGGGAAAAAAACCUUUUGGGAUUUUUAUUUGUGGCAUCAUGUUGGGAUGACUUCCAAUAAAAAGUUAUUCUGUGCUGUCUGCAUGUGUCGAAAGGAUAUUGAUCUAGAUGGCCAACGUAUUUCUUCAUACCCCUAGUCCACUUUUUUUUUCCAUUGGCCAGAUAUACUGUAUUUUGUCUCUCUUGCAGAGGCUAUUUGGUUUCAUGUUAAAACUUAAGAGGUGUGUAGUUUGGUGAGUGAGAGGAUGGUAGCUUGAAACCUAAAGGCUGGUGAUGCUGCCUGAGGCGUGGCUUUAUGUGCCACGUGGCAAUUCAUGAAUACUUCGUAUUGCUUUGAAUUAUUGUGGCCCCCAAAACCCAGCAGUUCAGGUAACGUAAUAUAUUUAUUUUAUGUACGAUGUGUGGAAUCUAUAAGUAAGUUGACUGUGCUUUUUCCUGGGACGUUAUGCUCUGGAACCUGGGGCCCUGGAGGUCCCCAGUGGAUCUCCAACGGCUGACCGCUCGCAGGCCUGCUUCCCUCGGGAUCCUCUCCCAUCUCCAGAGCUCCCUUAAUUCCCAGCAACGCAUGGGAGGACGUCAGCAGCCACCAGCACAGACAGCCGCUCGUACUUUCAGCGACCUCCUGCACCCCGCUUCCCAGGCCUCAUCUGCAGUCUCAAGGCUGGGCGAUUUCACAGGUAGCAUCUCUCUCAUAAGAAGAGGCCCUUCCCCAGCAGCACCCCGACCUCUGUAGUCAUCGUAAAGGCUAUCCAUUAGGAACCGUGUUCUCGAGAGGCAGUAUAGGGUUGAGACCUACAGCCAAAGAAAAGGAACAGCCGUAGCAGACCGUUCCACACCCCACCGCCCUGCCAGCCCGGAGCCUCCCAUCCUUGCUCCACCACCACCUGGGGUGACCACUGCCUUUCCCGCCUUGCAUAGCGAAUGCUAUGUGUACCAUUCUGUCUCCAUCACGACUUGCAAGCUUUAGAUGCCCAGGGCUUCAUAGUCAUGUCAGAAAAUGAAAAUAAUAGAAAGUAAACUUGAUCCUUCACUACAGACGGUGUGAGAAGCCUUACCCUAAGCAGGCAUACGGUGCCUUGGCCCAUGGUAGUCGCUGAGUAACUGUUUCUAAAUAAAGCCCCGAAAACAC